rnacentral:pre_miRNA from 1 species
GCACACACACACUGGACGAAGUGAGGAAACACAGACGAGCGCAGUGCUCUCGUCUGUGUUUCGUCGCUUUGUCCAGUGUGUGUGCGC